rnacentral:rRNA from 1 species
GAUGAACGCUGGCGGCGUGCCUAAUACAUGCAAGCCGAGCGAACGGACGAGAAGCUUGCUUCUCUGAUGUUAGCGGCGGACGGGUGAGUAACACGUGGAUAACCUACCUAUAAGACUGGGAUAACUUCGGGAAACUGGAGCUAAUACCGGAUAAUAUUUUGAACCGCAUGGUUCAAAAGUGAAAGACGGUCUUGCUGUCACUUAUAGAUGGAUCCGCGCUGCAUUAGCUAGUUGGUAAGGUAACGGCUUACCAAGGCAACGAUGCAUAGCCGACCUGAGAGGGUGAUCGGCCACACUGGAACUGAGACACGGUCCAGACUCCUACGGGAGGCAGCAGUAGGGAAUCUUCCGCAAUGGGCGAAAGCCUGACGGAGCAACGCCGCGUGAGUGAUGAAGGUCUUCGGAUCGUAAAACUCUGUUAUUAGGGAAGAACAUAUGUGUAAGUAACUGUGCACAUCUUGACGGUACCUAAUCAGAAAGCCACGGCUAACUACGUGCCAGCAGCCGCGGUAAUACGUAGGUGGCAAGCGUUAUCCGGAAUUAUUGGGCGUAAAGCGCGCGUAGGCGGUUUUUUAAGUCUGAUGUGAAAGCCCACGGCUCAACCGUGGAGGGUCAUUGGAAACUGGAAAACUUGAGUGCAGAAGAGGAAAGUGGAAUUCCAUGUGUAGCGGUGAAAUGCGCAGAGAUAUGGAGGAACACCAGUGGCGAAGGCGACUUUCUGGUCUGUAACUGACGCUGAUGUGCGAAAGCGUGGGGAUCAAACAGGAUUAGAUACCCUGGUAGUCCACGCCGUAAUCGAUGAGUGCUAAGUGUUAGGGGGUUUCCGCCCCUUAGUGCUGCAGCUAACGCAUUAAGCACUCCGCCUGGGGAGUACGACCGCAAGGUUGAAACUCAAAGGAAUUGACGGGGACCCGCACAAGCGGUGGAGCAUGUGGUUUAAUUCGAAGCAACGCGAAGAACCUUACCAAAUCUUGACAUCCUUUGACAACUCUAGAGAUAGAGCCUUCCCCUUCGGGGGACAAAGUGACAGGUGGUGCAUGGUUGUCGUCAGCUCGUGUCGUGAGAUGUUGGGUUAAGUCCCGCAACGAGCGCAACCCUUAAGCUUAGUUGCCAUCAUUAAGUUGGGCACUCUAAGUUGACUGCCGGUGACAAACCGGAGGAAGGUGGGGAUGACGUCAAAUCAUCAUGCCCCUUAUGAUUUGGGCUACACACGUGCUACAAUGGACAAUACAAAGGGCAGCGAAACCGCGAGGUCAAGCAAAUCCCAUAAAGUUGUUCUCAGUUCGGAUUGUAGUCUGCAACUCGACUACAUGAAGCUGGAAUCGCUAGUAAUCGUAGAUCAGCAUGCUACGGUGAAUACGUUCCCGGGUCU